UGAGUCUCUCUCUUCUCCUCUUCUCUCGCAGACCCAAACUUCUCUUCUCCAUCGUCAGAUCUCACCUCUCUCAAUAAAAACAAUUCCACCAGUCCCUUCUCUUUCUCUCUCUUUCAUCUCGCGCCAAAUACAAACUCUUUAACUAACCUUCCUCUCUCUUCUCCGUCAGGCGUGUGUGUGUUGGGCUACAUCUGUCUUUGAUUAUAGGGAUUUAGGUGACAUGGCGGAUAACCCAACAAGUCCGGCUGGAGGGAGCCAUGAGAGCGGUGGCGAGCAGAGCCCGCGCUCCGGGGUGAGGGAGCAGGAUAGGUACCUGCCUAUCGCCAAUAUAAGCAGGAUCAUGAAGAAGGCCUUGCCGGCCAAUGGAAAAAUUGCUAAAGAUGCCAAGGAUACCGUCCAGGAAUGCGUCUCUGAGUUUAUCAGUUUUGUCACUAGCGAGGCAAGUGAUAAGUGUCAAAAGGAGAAGAGGAAGACAAUCAAUGGGGAUGAUUUGUUGUGGGCAAUGGCAACAUUAGGCUUUGAAGACUAUAUUGAACCACUUAAGGUGUACCUAGCUAGGUACAGGGAGGUAAUUGAUCUUUCACUUUCAAACACUCCUUUGCUGCUUGAUCAUGUUUUGGUUUUAUUUUUUGGUUUGCAUUCUGACAAAAUUUCCUUUUUCAUAUUUGUUUUCGUGGAUGAUUGCAAUACCACAGAUGGAGGGUGACACUAAGGGAUCUGCUAGGGGUGGAGAUGGAUCAGCUAAAAGGGAUGCAAUUGGAGGUCUCCCUGGUCAAAAUCCACAGUUUGUUAUUCAGGGGUCAAUGAACUACAUUAGUUCCCAGGCACAGGGACAACACAUGAUUGUUCCUUCCAUGCAAGGCAACGAGUAGAGAGUUGUAGUUUCUCAGUUACCAAUCUAAUGAAUUUUAGGGCCUGUAAAAAUGUUUAGAAUCAGCGCCUAUAGCAUCUAUUAUAUUGGUUUAUUGUCUGAUUUGGACCGAAGUGCCAAGUAUUCUUGGGACUUCGGUUUUGCUUAAGCCCUCUUCAGCUAAACAGCUUUAAUAGGCACAUAACUUCUGUAAAUUUGAUUUUUUUUUUUCUAUUGAAUCUAACAGAUGUUCACCUGACUAUUUAAAGAGACUGAUUUCAUGAA